rnacentral:rRNA from 1 species
ACCCCUUCAUUUCCAUACACUGUGCACACACUUCUUUUCACACAUUUUAACACUAUAGUAUAAGAAUGUAACAGUCUCUUUAUUGAGCAUAAAUAAAAAUAAAACUUUCAGCAACGGAUCUCUUGGCUCUCGCAUCGAUGAAGAACGCAGCGAAUUGCGAUAAGUAAUGUGAAUUGCAGAAUUCAGUGAAUCAUCGAAUCUUUGAACGCACCUUGCACUCUUUGGUAUUCCGAAGAGUAUGUCUGUUUGAGUGUCAUGAAACUCUCAACCCCCCUAUUUUGUAAUGAGAUGGGCGUGGGCUUGGAUUAUGACUGUUGUCGGCGUAAUUGCCGGCUCAGUUGAAAUACACGAGCAACCCAUUUGAAAUAAACGGUUUGACUUGGCGUAAUAAUUAUUUCGCUAAGGACGUUUUCUUCAAAAGUAAGAGGUGCUUCUAAUGCGCUAUUACAGCACUUUAAAUUUUAGACCUCAAAUCAGUCAGGACUACCCGCUGAACUUAAGCAUAUCAAUAAGCGGAGGA